UACAGAGACUGCGAGCGUUAUUCGGAUUCACUGGGCGUAAAGGGUGCGCAGGCGGUUGUGUGUGUCAGGUGUGAAAGCCCGGGGCUUAACCCCGGAAUUGCGCCUGAAACUACAUGACUAGAGCAUUGGAGAGGGUAGCGGAAUUCACGGUGUAGCAGUGAAAUGCGUAGAUAUCGUGAGGAACACCAGAGGCGAAGGCGGCUACCUGGACAAUUGCUGACGCUCAGGCACGAAAGCGUGGGGAGCAAAAGGG
rnacentral:rRNA from 1 species